ACGCUGGCGGCGUGCCUAAUACAUGCAAGUCGAGCGAAUGGAUUAAGAGCUUGCUCUUAUGAAGUUAGCGGCGGACGGGUGAGUAACACGUGGGUAACCUGCCCAUAAGACUGGGAUAACUCCGGGAAACCGGGGCUAAUACCGGAUAACAUUUUGAACCGCAUGGUUCGAAAUUGAAAGGCGGCUUCGGCUGUCACUUAUGGAUGGACCCGCGUCGCAUUAGCUAGUUGGUGAGGUAACGGCUCACCAAGGCAACGAUGCGUAGCCGACCUGAGAGGGUGAUCGGCCACACUGGGACUGAGACACGGCCCAGACUCCUACGGGAGGCAGCAGUAGGGAAUCUUCCGCAAUGGACGAAAGUCUGACGGAGCAACGCCGCGUGAGUGAUGAAGGCUUUCGGGUCGUAAAACUCUGUUGUUAGGGAAGAACAAGUGCUAGUUGAAUAAGCUGGCACCUUGACGGUACCUAACCAGAAAGCCACGGCUAACUACGUGCCAGCAGCCGCGGUAAUACGUAGGUGGCAAGCGUUAUCCGGAAUUAUUGGGCGUAAAGCGCGCGCAGGUGGUUUCUUAAGUCUGAUGUGAAAGCCCACGGCUCAACCGUGGAGGGUCAUUGGAAACUGGGAGACUUGAGUGCAGAAGAGGAAAGUGGAAUUCCAUGUGUAGCGGUGAAAUGCGUAGAGAUAUGGAGGAACACCAGUGGCGAAAGGCGACUUUCUGGUCUGUAACUGACACUGAGCGCGAAAGCGUGGGGAGCAAACAGAUUAGAUACCCUGGUAGUCCACGCCGUAAACGAUGAGUGCUAAGUGUUAGAGGUUUCCGCCCUUUANUGCUGAGUACGCAUA
rnacentral:rRNA from 1 species